rnacentral:rRNA from 1 species
UCAGUUGUGAAAGUUUGCGGCUCAACCGUAAAAUUGCAGUUGAUACUGGCUGUCUUGAGUACAGUAGAGGUGGGCGGAAUUCGUGGUGUAGCGGUGAAAUGCUUAGAUAUCACGAAGAACUCCGAUUGCGAAGGCAGCUCACUGGACUGCAACUGACACUGAUGCUCGAAAGUGUGGGUAUCAAACAGGAUUAGAUACCCUGGUAGUCCACACAGUAAACGAUGAAUACUCGCUGUUUGCGAUAUACAGUAAGCGGCCAAGCGAAAGCAUUAAGUAUUCCACCUGGGGAGUACGCCGGCAACGGUGAAACUCAAAGGAAUUGACGGGGGCCCGCACAAGCGGAGGAACAUGUGGUUUAAUUCGAUGAUACGCGAGGAACCUUACCCGGGCUUAAAUUGCAUUUGAAUAUAUUGGAAACAGUAUAGUCGUAAGACAAAUGUGAAGGUGCUGCAUGGUUGUCGUCAGCUCGUGCCGUGAGGUGUCGGCUUAAG